rnacentral:piRNA from 1 species
UACUACGUGGGGUCUCGUUUU